UACACAUUUAGAGCACAAGUCCCGGAGAUCUCUGAUUUAUCCUGCGAAUGAUGGAUUUAGUGUUUGAGUUCCUUGGACAAGUCCCAUUGCUGCAGAGACUCCCCAGUUCUUCACUUACAAAGAUCGCUGAGCUCAUCCUGGUGAAUAUGUUGUUCGAGAGGGGGAAGUUGGGGAGGCACUGUACAUUAUUUGGGAGGGUGAGGGUUUCAAUAUUCAAAGGGAAGCAGGAGCAAUAUUAAAAAGGUUGAAGAAGAAAAAUUUCAUCUGGGAAGCACUCAUUUAUCUCAUUUAUGAAGAUUUAGUUUGGUGUGUCACCCAUAAUAGUGUUUGAUCUUUUUUAUGAAGUUUCAUCUAGAGAGAGUUCAUGGCUUCCCUCUCUGUUGCACUUCAAUAUUACAUACAUUUGAGAUUGAACCGGACUCAAGGAUGGUAGUCUACAAAGGAUACUUAUCUCUCUAAUUAUAUUCAUAGAGCUCUCCAUUGGGUGAUUAUGUGAAGGUAAUCUUAUCUGAUUCAAAUGUUCCUGGCGAAGGAGAGCAGAAAAUCAUGACAUACACUUCUGACUCGUCGUUUUGAAGAACUUCUCCCUAUUUUUUCUAUUCCCACAACACCGCCAUCGUCCAAACUUUUUUUAUGUGCAGGAUGCAGAUCUGAUAAUGCUCUCUCUUGCUACACAUGAAGUUUAUUUCUCAAUUUUAAGAGAGGUGGUUACAAUGCUAGGGCAACAAGAUAAAUGCUUUUCCUGUGGUCAAGUAGGACAUCUUGCAACUGAAUGUAGAGGUACAGAAGCAAAUGACAAGAUUUAUAUUACAAUUCACAAGAAGAAAUACCAGUUCCUAAACAUCUGGGUAGUGCGGGAGUACUGGGAGAAUGAUCUGGACAUAUCACAUCCUCCGUUUGAGAUAAACUUUGAACGUAUUGUGGAUGAUUUUGUUUUCAUGUGCUUCUUUGUGGGAAAUGACUUUUUACCACACAUGCCCACUCUUGAAAUCCAUGAGGUUCAUAACAGGCCUUAUCAAGUGCUUGAAAAUUUUAAGCUUAAUGCCUGAAUUGUUUCAAUACUUUGUUGAGCACACAUUUAUUCACUGUAUAUCCUGAGCUUGAAUAUGUCGAGUUACUUAUAUCUUAUUUCCUGUGAUCUCUCUGUGUUUUAGGACGCAAUCAAUAUGCUAAUGUUUAUCUAUAUAAGGGUCUUCUCAGCGAUGGGCGGUUACCUCACUGAUGCUGGAGAGGUAUUUUUUCUCUUAUCAGACAACAUCUUUGAUUUUUAUUUAGAGGUAGCACAUUUUGUAAAAUUUCAUGUUUUUGGGAAUUGCAAGCCUAUGAACCUGCAUUGGUUCUCUUUUAUUUUUGGGAAUUGUAAAAUUUCAUGUUUUUGGGAAUUGCAAGCAUGUGAAAUGUUGUGAUUAAUAUUUUUUGGGAUUUUUUUCCUGAUAAAAUGUUAAAGUUCAAGGGAGUUUUAUGAUAACCACUAAAUCUACAGGAUGUUUUCUUAUAUUUUGAAAAUUAUAUGAGAGUUGUGUUAUAAAUCUUCCGAAGCUAAGAUGUACUCUUGCAAAUAAUUAGCCUAAAAAUAAUAAUAACAGCCCUUGAGCAAAACUACCGUAGGAAACAAUUGUUAUGCAAUUUGUUGAAUCACAAGAAUACAAUAUUUUUAGUUGUAUAGUAUGCAUUUGGAUCUGCACCAUCCUGACUCUUAUGGAUAAGGUACUUUUUUGCUGCAUUUGACAUAAUUCUACUUGUUUACAUGUGUUUAUGUAAUUUAAAUGUGAGUAUAUAAUUUCAGAUACAACAGCUUUUUUAUCUUAUACUAUCCUGGCAUCACAAGCAAGGACAACAUGAUAUUUAUAGCUCUGGACUACAUCAAAGUACCAAAAAUGUUUCAUUGCAUAUUGGGUUUCAUCUAUUGGCUAUCAUGAGGGAAUGACUUCAUCCUUUGGUUUUUGGUAAUGACAGUCCUCUGAAAAAUACUUCAUUAGGAUACCAAACUAGUGGAACUUCUAUUCCGAUUAUUUCUAUGCAACUAUCAUUGCUCUUGAAAAUUAUGUGCCAAGUAUGUAUCUUAUAUUAUCAAAAUCUAUGUCAAUAUUUAUCACAAAAAAAUUGUUACUUCCUAUUUGGUCAUCGAUAAACUUCUUUUGUUAGAACACAUCUUGUCAUAGGGAGCCCACACAUGUAUACUUACAUGCUCAGGCGGCGAAAGAAGGAUCUUUCAAAGGCGAAGAUGGAAUGAAAUGUGAUGAAAGAAGGAAUAGUAAAUAUUUAUUAAUGUAUUAUUUGAAGAAUGCAUAGCUGUUAGAUGGUGGCUCUGCAUGAGUGGUUGUAUUGGUGUUCUCUAAUCCCUAAGAUUGUCUUCUUGUUGGAAGGGAGUGCUUUUGGUAUAGUUGUGAAUGUAUUCCUCUGAAAAAACAUAUUGCCAAUGUUUUAUGAUUUAUGGAUUAAAUGUUUUUGAUUUCAUCUAUGUGCUCAUCUAAAAAAGCCUUAUUUUAUGAAACGUGAUAACAGUGAACUUA